rnacentral:rRNA from 1 species
UACAGAGGUCCCGAGCGUUGUUCGGAUUCAUUGGGCGUAAAGGGUGCGUAGGCGGCGGGGCAAGUCUGAUGUGAAAUCCCGGGGCUCAACCCCGGAACUGCAUUGGAUACUGCCUUGCUUGAGUACUUGGAGAGGAGACUGGAAUUUACGGUGUAGCAGUGAAAAUGCGUAGAUAUCGUAAGGAAAGGCCAGUGGCGAAGGCGAGUCUCUGGACAGUUACUGACGCUGAGGCACGAAAGGCCCAGGGGAGGCAAA